GGCGGGCGCACAGCCGGGCAGGCCAGGGAGGUUCGGGGCGUGCCCCCUGCAGAACCGGCCUUGAGUCCACCACAGCCUGACCGGGCUCCCUGCCCACAGCCCUCACCCACCUGAGGCCUCCAAGCCUCCCAGAGGAAAUGCAAAUAUUCCCGGAACCAAGGCGAGCAUCCAGGGCAGCCGGUCACCUGACCUUCAGUGAAGGGUGACGGGAGCUCACCAUGACCCCGUGUGAGCGUGCAGGGAGCAUGCGUGUACAGGAAUGGGAGUGUGCACACCUGUGUGCCAGUGUGUGUGUGCCUGUGGCACCACUGGCCCCAGCAGGCCUGGAGAACCAUCCACGGGGCACGGGACACUCACACGCCUCAGCCAUGCUGCCCAUUGACGUCCGGGCCUGCUGUGUGCAUGAUGCCUGGGGUGGCAGCCCACCAGGAGGAGCCCCGACCUGGGGGGUGCAGCCUCUGCGUUCGGGGGAAUCGAACUGUGUCUCCAGAAAGACGUGCCGAUGGCCCCGGGCUGUGAAUCCUUGCAGACGUGAUCAAGGGUUGCAAACUCCAGGAGGUCCUGAGAACAGGGAAGCCUGGCACGCUGCAGUCCACAGGGUUGCAGAGAGUCGGACACAACAGAGCGACUGAGCAACAACGACAGCGUAAGGGAUUGUGAAGAAGCAAGGACGGCAGACAACGGAGACCGCCUGUGGGCCCAGAGCGCUACACUGCCGUCUGGCCCUUCCUGGGACACUGGGGUGGACCCCCUUCCCGGACGCCCCGGGGUGGACCCCCUUCACCGACGCCCCGGGGUGGACCCCCUUCCCGGACGCCCCGGGGUGGACCCCCGUCUCCUGCCCGAGGGGCAGGACACUGUCUCUGCCGUGGAGACACGGGUGGUCCCUUAGACCGCAGACCAGCAAGGACGGGUGCCUGAGGAGGGCUGGAAUCAGCUGAGGUGGAUACGCCCACAUUCUAGAAAGGGAGGCAGUAACGAGAGAUGUGUGUCUGAAACAAAGACAGCUCGGGGAGAUGUCCUGAGGGGUGAGCAGAAGCUCAGGGCAAACGGUGAGAAGUCAGGCUGGUGAGAGAUUCCCUGGAAACCCCAGAGCUGGAGGGGCCGAGCCCAGGCCAGGUGAGCGCCGGCCGGAAGCCUCUGUCCCCUUUGCUGACGGAACAGGGCUGCUGUGAGCGCCUCCCCCGCGCCUGGCCUCGAACACCACGAGGGCGAUUGUCCCCCGAAGCCCAGACCCUGGCUCAGCAGGGCUGCUUCCAGCCGAGGCUUGAAGGGCCGCUCUGCGCCCUCUCCUCGGUGUGUGUGUGGCCGUCUCCUCCCUGCGGCCUCCUCGCCCUCCCUGGGCCUGUGUUCAAGUUUCCUGUCUGUGAAGGGACACCGCCAUGCCGGGUAGGGUCACCCAAGACCUGAGGGGAGCUUCCCUGGGGGCUCAGCAGUUAGGCCCCCGCCUGCAGUGCGGGAGACAUAGGUUCAAUCCCCGGGUCAGGAAGAUCCCCUGGAGAAGGGAAUGGCAGCCCACUGCAGUGUUCUUGCCUGGAGAAUCCCACAGACAGGGGAGCCUGGAGGGCUACAGAGGUGCAAAGGGGUUGCAAAGAGUCAGACUUGACUUGGCCACUGACAAACCACAGACCU
ensembl:lncRNA